rnacentral:tRNA from 1 species
GCCCCUGUAGCUCAGAUGGAUAGAGCACAGGUUUCCUAAACCUGGUGUCGGUAGUUCGACUCUACCCAGGGGCA